CGGACGGGAAAGAUCCUUCGGGAAUUGAGUACAGUGGCGGACGGGUGAGUAAUACGUGAUCAACGUGCCUUUAGGACCGGGAUAGCGAGGCGAAAGGAUGGGUAAUACCGGAUAAGACCACGGCUUCUCAUGAAGCAGUGUUAAAACGGUUGAGAUCUUCGGACCUUCCGCCUAGAGAUGGGACCACGUCCUAUCAGCUUGUUGGUGAGGUAACGGCUCACCAAGGCGACGACGGGUAGCCGGCCUGAGAGGGCGACCGGCCACAUUGGGACUGAGAGACGGCCCAGACUCCUACGGGAGGCAGCAGUGCUGAAUCAUUCGCCAAUGCGCGAAAGCGUGACGGUGCGACGCCGCGUGAAGGAUGAAGGCCUUCGGGUUGUAAACUUCUGUCAGGGUGUAGAAAACCGUAAGGGUUAAUAGCUCUUGCGCUGAUCACACCCAAAGGAAGCACAGGCUAAUCUCGUGCCAGCAGCCGCGGUAAUACGAGAUGUGCGAGCGUUGUUCGGAAUCACUGGGCAUAAAGGGUGCGUAGGCGGUUUGGCAAGUCGGUUGUGAAAUCCCUCGGCUCAACCGGGGAAUUGCUUCCGAAACUACCAGACUUGAGGGCGAAAGAGGCAAGCGGAAUUCCAGGUGUAGCGGUGGAAUGCGUAGAUAUCUGGGAGAACGCCGAUGGCGAAGGCAGCUUGCUGGGUCGCAUCUGACGCUGAGGCACGAAAGCUAGGGGAGCAAACAGGAUUAGAUACCCUGGUAGUCCUAGCCGUAAACGAUGGGUACUUUGUGCCGGAGGGCCUGAUCUCUUCGGCGCCGGAGUUAACGCGUUAAGUACCCCGCCUGGGGAGUAUGAUCGCAAGGUUGAAACUCAAAGGAAUUGACGGGGGCUCACACAAGCGGUGGAGCAUGUUGUUCAAUUCGAAGCAACGCGAAGAACCUUACCUGGGCUUGACAUGCUAGUAGUACAAACCCGAAAGGGAGCGGACCUGAGCAAUCAGGAGCUAGCACAGGUGCUGCAUGGCUGUCGUCAGCUCGUGUCGUGAGACGUUGGGUUAAGUCCCGUAACGAGCGAAACCCUUGUCGCCUGUUGCUACCGGGUAAUGCCGGGCACUCUGGCGAGACUGCCGGUGUCAAACCGGAGGAAGGCGGGGACGACGUCAAGUCAUCAUGGUCCUUACGUCCAGGGCUACAAACGUGCUACAAUGGCGGAUACAGAGAGAUGCAAGACCGCGAGGUGGAGCAAAUCUUCAAAAACCGCCCCAGUUCAGAUUGGAGGCUGCAAUUCGCCUCCAUGAAGUUGGAAUCGCUAGUAAUCGCGCAUCAGCCACGCCGCGGUGAUACGUUCCUGAGCAUUGUACACACCGCCCGUCAAGCCACCCAAGCUGGAAGCACCCGAAGUC
rnacentral:rRNA from 1 species